rnacentral:rRNA from 1 species
AACGAACGCUGGCGGCAGGCCUAACACAUGCAAGUCGAGCGCCCCGCAAGGGGAGCGGCGGACGGGUGAGUAACGCGUGGGAACGUGCCCCUUUCUACGGAAUAGCCUCGGGAAACUGGGAGUAAUACCGUAUAAGCCCUGCGGGGGAAAGAUUUAUCGGGAAGGGAUCGGCCCGCGUUGGAUUAGGUAGUUGGUGGGGUAAUGGCCUACCAAGCCGACGAUCCAUAGCUGGUUUGAGAGGAUGAUCAGCCACACUGGGACUGAGACACGGCCCAGACUCCUACGGGAGGCAGCAGUGGGGAAUCUUAGACAAUGGGCGCAAGCCUGAUCUAGCCAUGCCGCGUGAGCGAUGAAGGCCUUAGGGUUGUAAAGCUCUUUCAGUGGGGAAGAUAAUGACUGUACCCACAGAAGAAGCCCCGGCUAACUCCGUGCCAGCCGCCGCUGUAAGAC